ACUGGGACUGAGACACGGCCCAGACUCCUACGGGAGGCAGCAGUGGGGAAUUUUGGACAAUGGGCGCAAGCCUGAUCCAGCCAUGCCGCGUGUCUGAAGAAGGCCUUCGGGUUGUAAAGGACUUUUGUCAGGGAAGAAAAGGGCGGGGUUAAUACCCCUGUCUGAUGACGGUACCUGAAGAAUAAGCACCGGCUAACUACGUGCCAGCAGCCGCGGUAAUACGUAGGGUGCGAGCGUUAAUCGGAAUUACUGGGCGUAAAGCGAGCGCAGACGGUUACUUAAGCAGGAUGUGAAAUCCCCGGGCUCAACCUGGGAACUGCGUUCUGAACUGGGUGACUAGAGUGUGUCAGAGGGAGGUAGAAUUCCACGUGUAGCAGUGAAAUGCGUAGAGAUGUGGAGGAAUACCGAUGGCGAAGGCAGCCUCCUGGGAUAACACUGACGUUCAUGCUCGAAAGCGUGGGUAGCAAACAGGAUUAGAUACCCUGGUAGUCCACGCCCUAAACGAUGUCAAUUAGCUGUUGGGCAACUUGAUUGCUUAGUAGCGUAGCUAACGCGUGAAAUUGACCGCCUGGGGAGUACGGUCGCAAGAUUAAAACUCAAAGGAAUUGACGGGGACCCGCACAAGCGGUGGAUGAUGUGGAUUAAUUCGAUGCAACGCGAAGAACCUUACCUGGUCUUGACAUGUACGGAAUCCUCCAGAGACGGAGGAGUGCCUUCGGGAGCCGUAACACAGGUGCUGCAUGGCUGUCGUCAGCUCGUGUCGUGAGAUGUUGGGUUAAGUCCCGCAACGAGCGCAACCCUUGUCAUUAGUUGCCACCAUUCAGUUGGGCACUCUAAUGAGACUGCCGGUGACAAACCGGAGGAAGGUGGGGAUGACGUCAAGUCCUCAUGGCCCUUAUGACCAGGGCUUCACACGUCAUACAAUGGUCGGUACAGAGGGUAGCCAAGCCGCGAGGUGGAGCCAAUCUCACAAAACCGAUCGUAGUCCGGAUUGCACUCUGCAACUCGAGUGCAUGAAGUCGGAAUCGCUAGUAAUCGCAGGUCAGCAUACUGCGGUGAAUACGUUCCCGGGUCUUGUACACACCGCCCGUCACACCAUGGGAGUGGGGGAUACCAGAAGUAGGUAGGGUAACCGCAAGGAGCCCGCUUACCACGGUAUGCUUCAUGACUGGGGUGAAGUCGUAACAAGGUAGCCGUAGGGGAACCUGCGGCUG
rnacentral:rRNA from 1 species